AUUGAACGCUGGCGGCAUGCCUUACACAUGCAAGUCGAACGGCAGCGACGGGAGCAAUCCUGGUGGCGAGUGGCGAACGGGUGAGUAAUAUAUCGGAACGUGCCCAGUUGUGGGGGAUAGCCCGGCGAAAGCCGGAUUAAUACCGCAUACGACCUACGGGUGAAAGCGGGGGAUCGCAAGACCUCGCGCAAUUGGAGCGGCCGAUGUCAGAUUAGCUAGUUGGUGGGGUAAAAGCCUACCAAGGCGACGAUCUGUAGCUGGUCUGAGAGGACGACCGGCCACACUGGGACUGAGACACGGCCCAGACU
rnacentral:rRNA from 1 species